rnacentral:rRNA from 1 species
AAUCAACGCUGGCGGCGUGCCUCAGACAUGCAAGUCGAACGAUUAAAGCUCUCUUCGGGAGAGUGCAUAGAGUGGCGCACGGGUGAGUAACACGUAAGUAAUCUACCCUCGAGUGGGGAAUAACAGUCGGAAACGACUGCUAAUACCGCAUAAUGCAAAGUCAUCGCAAGGUGACAUUAGUUAAAGAUUUAUCGCUUGGAGGAGGAGCUUGCGGCAGAUUAGCUAGUUGGUAAGGUAAUGGCUUACCAAGGCUACGAUCUGUAACCGGUCUAAGAGGACGGUCGGUCACACUGACACUGAA